GGUUGGGCCUGUUGGUGACGUGGCUGUCUGACCCCGACAACCUUAACCAGCUGGUGCUGAGCCAACUCGACAGAGCAUCUCCCAAAGACUCUGUGGAGGAUCUGUGCGGAUCAGACCCGGAACAAGACUCUUUGUCGUCGCAGGAGGACAAAGACGAGGGGGAGGUCAGGGAAGUGUGAGUGUCUGUAAUCCUUUGCACCCUGCUGACAUGACCUGGUCAUAGUGAGCAUCAAAGCAACGACCAUGUUGGACACCUUCUGUCUGAGAAAUUGGAACUGACUGGGUUUUGGCUGGUUUUUGGUUUUCUAGGAACUUGGAGGGAGAAGAGAUUUCAAAUGGCACCAGCAUCAAGGGCAAAAGGAAAGGCAACAAGUUAAAGAAAGGCUGGUCCAAAUUUGUCGACAAGAUGAAGUCUAAGAAGGCCAAGAAGAAGAAGAUGAAAAUGAUGGAGCAGAAGCUGAUGAUGAGGAUCAUUGCGAGCCAGGAUAACGCGUCCAACGAGGACGAUGUCAGCAGCAGGGAGGGCUCAAUUUACAGCCAGCAGGACUCUGACAGGGCCGCCUGGGAGGAUGAGGAGCUCAUCUUCACCGUUCACCUGGAGGAGAACAACAGCCCGGAGAACCUACAGUGGGACAUCAGGAAGACCUACAUGGAUGUGAUAUAUUUUCGCAACAGAUGGCAGGUAAAAGGCCAAUACAACAGCACUGUAAUAAACACAUAUAUAUCUCUCUGAGGGUAGGCUAAAUCACACACACACACACACACACACACACACACACACACACACACACACACACACACACACACACACACACACACACACACACACACACACACACACACACACACACACACACACACACACACACAAUGAGUUCAAUCAACUACUCUAAAAUGGAACAUUAGAACACUCAUGAAGGUUGUAAUUAUUGAAGGUCUGUUGCAUUAGACUGCACCUGUUUUAAUGAUAAACUGGCAAAUUAAUGUCUGCAUGCUGUAAAAACAAUUUAACUGAAAAAUGUAUCUUCACAAAAAAUCUCACUUCAGACAAACUUUAAUCUUCUUGGUGUUUAUUUAAGCUUUUUCUGAAAGUGAAAAAGCAUUUCCAUGCUUAAUAUGGGUGUGUCACUGCAGUCCUUGCAUUGAACCACUGACUAACCACUAUUGUGAUGCACAUGGGGAAUAAUGCCAAAAUAUUUACAUCAUUAUACUGUAGCUGUUUGAACAAUGAGGCAGUAUCAGAAAAGCAAUGUGUUAAUUGGGAAAAACCUUCCAGCCCAGUAGUUCUUCAUCUUACAAGGUAACACUAUUUGGAUGUUACUAUUUUGCAACCAGUGAGUCGCCCUCUGCUGGUGAUUCCAGAGAAUACCGCAUUGGAUUCAUUUUCCGGACUACGUCCAUUGUUAUAUACAGUCUGUGUGUCAGACAUGAACAUAUAACGAAUGCCGACAUUUUCAUCACAAAGCAUUCGUUUUAAUCAGAGUGCUACUGGUUCUACUGCGACCUCUGGUGGCAAUAAAUAUUGAAUAUUUAACCAUUAACAGAGGAUUCUCUGCAUAGAAAGUUGCCAGCAUUUUUUCAAGAGCUGUGUUAACUCCUUAUUAUGUAUUCAGCAUGAGCCUGGAGGAGAAACACUGCUCCCAGACUUGUUUCACAAGUCUGGGAUUCAGCUUUUGGCACUUUUCAGGACUCAACCACCCUGCCCACAAUCCUGGAACUGGAGCAGUCCGAGGUCAACAGUGGGGUUAAAGACGAGGCUAGAGUGUCAGUGGAGCACUUUCUGCAGGUGAAAGAAACAAAAAUCUUAGACGUGUUAACAGAUUAUCACUUUGUGACUCAACA
rnacentral:lncRNA from 1 species